rnacentral:rRNA from 1 species
AGCGAACGCUGGCGGCAGGCCUAACACAUGCAAGUCGAGCGCUCGUAGCAAUACGAGAGCGGCAGACGGGAGAGUAACACGUGGGAACGUACCCUUUGGUUCGGAACAACCCAGGGAAACUUGGGCUAAUACCGGAUAAGCCCUUACGGGGAAAGAUUUAUCGCCGAAGGAUCGGCCCGCGUCUGAUUAGCUAGUUGGUGGGGUAACGGCCCACCAAGGCGACGAUCAGUAGCUGGUCUGAGAGGAUGAUCAGCCUCACUGGGACUGAGACACGGCCCAGACUCCUACGGGAGGCAGCAGGUGGGGAAUAUUGGACAAUGGGCGCAAGCCUGAUCCAGCCAUGCCGCGUGGGUGAUGAAGGCCCUAGGGUUGUAAAGCCCUUUCGGCGGGAAGAUAAUGACGGUACCCG